rnacentral:rRNA from 1 species
CGAAAGCCUGACGGAGCAAUACCGCGUGAGGGAGGAAGGCUUUUGGGUUGUAAACCUCUUUUCUCAAGGAAGAAAAAAAUGACGGUACUUGAGGAAUAAGCAUCGGCUAACUCCGUGCCAGCAGCCGCGGUAAUACGGAGGAUGCAAGCGUUAUUCGGAAUUAUUGGGCGUAAAGCGUCCGCAGGUGGUAUUUCAAGUCUGCUGUCAAAGACCGAAGCUUAACUUCGGAAAGGCAGUGGAAACUGAAAAGCUAGAGUACGGUAGGGGUAGAGGGAAUUCCCAGUGUAGCGGUGAAAUGCGUAGAUAUUGGGAAGAACACCAGUGGCGAAGGCGCUCUGCUGGGCCGUAACUGACACUCAUGGACGAAAGCUAGGGGAGCG